UACGUAGGGAGCAAGCGUUGUUCGGAUUUACUGGGCGUAAAGGGCGCGUAGGCGGCAUGUUAAGUCAGCUGUGAAAUCUCCGAGCUUAACUCGGAACUGUCAGCUGAUACUGAUGUGCUUGAGUGCGGAAGGGGCAAUCGGAAUUCUUGGUGUAGCGGUGAAAUGCGUAGAUAUCAAGAGGAACACCUGAGGUGAAGACGGGUUGCUGGGCCGACACUGACGCUGAGUGCGCGAAAGCCAGGGGAGCAAACGGG
rnacentral:rRNA from 1 species